AGUAAAUAGAUACCCAGGUAGUCCACGCCGUAAACGAUGUCGACUUGGAGGUUGUGCCCUUGAGGCGUGGCUUCCGGAGCUAAACGCGUUAAGUCGACCGCCUGGGGAGUACGGCCGCAAGGUUAAAACUCAAAUGAAUUGACGGGGGCCCGCACAAGCGGUGGAGCAUGUGGUUUAAUUCGAUGCAACGCGAAGAACCUUACCUACUCUUGACAUCCAGAGAACUUUCCAGAGAUGGAUUGGUGCCUUCGGGAACUCUGAGACAGGUGCUGCAUGGCUGUCGUCAGCUCGUGUUGUGAAGUGUUGGGUUAAGUCCCGCAACGAGCGCAACCCUUAUCCUUUGUUGCCAGCGGUUAGGCCGGGAACUCAAAGGAGACUGCCAGUGAUAAACUGGAGGAAGGUGGGGAUGACGCCAAGUCAUCAUGGCCCUUACGAGUAGGGCUACACACGUGCUACAAUGGCGCAUACAAAGAGAAGCGACCUCGCGAGAGCAAGCGGACCUCAUAAAGUGCGUCGUAGUCCGG
rnacentral:rRNA from 1 species